rnacentral:lncRNA from 1 species
UACGUUCGAGUACACAUCUCAAGUCCUGUACCAUAUACCAGAAUCCCUUGGAGGGGGGCAUGGUGUUUGUGUAUAGAUCUAUACGGGCUUCACAACCCGCGCCCUGACUGUUAGCUACAGUCCACCGUUUGGGGUGACAAACGUCAUAACAUUCCAACGCCUGAAGAACUUUGUGCAUAGGUAUUCCGAGUCAAUAGUAUGGUUAUAAAACUCACAUGGGGUAUUAAAAAUGCAUUGAUUUACAAGGUUUUCAAACACAUUCGUUAUUUUACACUUACAUACAUUUUAGAAACAAACAUUGGUCUUGAGUGAAGGCUACUUUUAUACUAGUAGAAAAUAUAGGAUUUUCUAAACACAAACAAACAAAGACAAAAAAUUUCAUUUCAUACAAACAUUGUCACUUAAAUACUUAUGAAACUCACCAGCUUAAAUGCUGAUCUACUCUUUCAAAAUUACUUGUAUGUCCCAGGAAAUCAGUAAUUUCAGGUAUUCAUUACGCUUUUGAUGAAGGGAUGUUGCGGCGCCAGUUUAAUCUCGUAUUUUGACAUCAUAUUGUAAUUGGUUUUGAACAUGUAACUUUUGACAAAUGUAAACUUUCAAUUAUAUAUAUGAUGGUUGUAUUGCUUUCUUUACUAUGUAUUCAUUUGUUACGUUACCACAUGAAGUCAUCCGCCCCCGAACGUUUCCGCCGUUCAGGUUUGGGGGUGUGACAGAUUGGUAUCAGAGCAAUGUUUAUAGUGAACUAAGUAUAUCGAAUCACAUAAGAUAUACAAACUAUAAAUGCUUAAGGGACUAAUACUCUCUGACAAAACAACUUUUCUUUUUACGCUUAAGCAGCGUUAGGUUUAACUUAAAUUGAUAGUUCAUUUAAGUACAAUUACAUGCAUACAACAAAUUAUUUUCAUGAUAUCUAACUAUACAACAAGUAUUUAGACAAGUUGACACUACGAUUAAGCCUCAAUAUAUGUAAUCAGAUUUUGGACAAAUAUAGCGUGAUCAACUAUAUUUGCACGAGAUUGGACCAACGUAUAUCGAGGAAUGAUCGUAGUAAGCAACAAGUCAAAACUUACCAAACCAUUACAAGAAUCAAACACAAGAAUUUUAAUAAUAUAGGAGCAUUUUCUACCUAAACUAGUUUAACUUACACGUUUUGCAUGUUUCAACUUUAUUCAAUUCUUAUAACCCUAUUUCUCGUACAGUCAAAUGGCUGGAUAUCACCACCCCGACGACCCCUACUUUCCCAACCAAGGUAACGGAGGAUGGAUCGAAGAUGAUCCCGAAGAGGACGAGGAACCCAUAGAAGUGGAUGAUGACUUUGGUACCGACUCAGAGCCGGAAGUGAUCGAUCUACCACCCGUUCAACCUCCCGUCUUCGUAAGGAACUUUCAAGGACCGACUCCCGUCUGGGGAAGUCACCUCCAUCAUUGGAGCCAACAACAAGGCAUACGCCCUCCCUACGGCAUGUGCCGGGACUUCUAUGAUGUCCGCGGCGGAGGUUCAGCUGAUCGGGCACUCCAGGUAAUGGUGGGUAAGCUAGCCAAUCAGUCCUAUCAGUCCGGAGUUCAAGCUAGCCGACUCCGAGAUGUCAACGUGGAAGUGCAGGUUCACACUUCUUACAUCCGUAGGUUGGACAAGAUACAAGACAAUACUCAACUCCAAACCGAGGCAUUCCAAGCGCAAAUGAUUGCAGCCCUCGCUGAACUGAGGGAACAACAAGCCGCUUUUGAUAGGCGUCUGAUGGAGUCGAAGCAAUCAGAUGCAGAGUCAAGCUCCAAGCGUAACCUGCGUCGCAAGUAGUGCUUGUCAUAGACUCAAAUUUUGUUAUAGCUUAGGACAUUGGCUAAAAGUCUUUAAAUUUCUCGAACUUUGUAAUCGGAGACCCUUAUAGGGGUCAAAUUUUCAUGAUCGUUGUAACAACUUUUAUAUUAAUAUAAGUGACACUAUUAUUACUACGUUGAGUAUUUCGUUCAAACCUUGAAAAGUCUUUGAGAAACCAAAUACUUGUUUCAUACUUUCAGUCUUACAAAUAACUUUCAUUCUUCUAUUUUAAGACUCAUACUAGCAUCUGUUGUUGAACUAUAGCAAUUUAGUUCAUGAGACACAUUAAUUUUCUAUUCUAUGGAAUUCUUAUCUUUACCUUUUCAACCUAUAGUUGAAGGAUGCCUCCGCGUAGGAAUCCAAGGCGAAGCAACGGUGGGGAAGCACCUGUACCACCACCACCUCCACCACCUCAAUUUGAUGCUGUUAUGUUCCAAGCAGCAGUCACCGCAGCAGUAGCAGCUGCCAUGUCACAGAUCAAUAACUCGAGUACUAAUGGCUCGGGAUCUGGCACACACCCAUCCAACCAUGGCGAGAGUCAUGGACCACCCCGAGAAUCUACCUAUAAGGACUUCACUAAUGCCAAGCCCCAGAUGUUUUAUGGAACUGGUGGUGUGAUGGCCCUGAGGCAGUGGAUUGAAAGGACGGAGGCAGUCUUUGAAAUCUGCUCCUGUCCCAAGCACAGCAAAGUCAAAUUUGCAACUUUCACCCUUAUUGAUAGAGCUUUAACUUGGUGGAAUGGCCACGUUAAAGUACUUACCCUAAUAGUGGCAAACUCCAUAAGCUGGGAGAGCCUAAAAGCCAUGAUGAUGAGAGAAUACUGCCCACGGGGAGAGAUUCAAAAGCUCGAACACGAACUAUGGACUCUCGGAAUGGUUGGUACCGACAUCGCUACUUAUAUGAACAGAUUCUGCGAGCUGGCAAUCCUUUGUCCAGAUAUGUUGCUCCCGAGAGCAAGAAAAUAGAAAGGUACAUCUGGGGACUGACGCCCCAAAUACGAUCAAGCGUGUUAGCUUCCAAACCUGACACCUUUGUAAGUGCUAAGGAACUGGCACAAUCUCUGAUUGACUACGGAGGUCAUCAGAACUAAACCUCUUCUACUCCAGAACCACAGAAAGGAAACAACAACAACAACAACAGCAACAACAACAACAACAACAACAAUAGCAGGAAGAGGGUAUGGAAUAAAAGGAAGGGUGGGUCUUCCCAAGAAUCCGCAAAGAAACAACUGGUUUCAGUGAAUGCUGCCACUGUACCUACUACAGCUCCUACAAAUACCUACCCAACAAAGCCUUAUGUAGGUAACCUUCCAAAGUGCACCAAAUGCACUUACCACCACCAUGGACCUUGUCGGGAAAUGCAGUGCGCCAACUGCAAUAGAAAGGGACACACAGCCUGUUUCUGCAAAGACCCCACAAAGCCGAUCACUCAAGUUCCCAGUGCGGGUGUAGGCCAGACUUGCUACGGUUGUGGCUAGGUGGGCCACUACAAGAGGAACUGUCCUAAGGCAGCAGGCACCGAUAGUGUGGGACUUGUUUUGGCAAUCUGCCACGACGAAGCUAUUGCUGACCCAACUAUAGUUGCCGGUACGUUCCUUCUCGAUAAUUCUUAUGCAUGCAUAUUAUUCGAUAGUGUAGCGGAGAGAAGUUUCGUGAGUCAAAACUUUAUUCAUUUACUUAAACCUAAACCUAACAAGCUAGAAAAAUCAUUCACUGUAGAGAUGGCCAAUGGAAAAACCGAAAACACUAACUGCAUAUACAUGGGUCGUGGCCAUUCUUUUCCAAUCAAUCUCAUGCCGGUCCAAAUUAAAAGUUUCGACGUCAUAGUCGGCAUGGAUUGGUUGAGUCUUCUUCGCGCCGACAUCAUGUGCUUUGAGAAAGCAGUCCGUCUUAAUCUCCCUAACAACGAAACAUUAGUUAUCUACGGCGACAAAUCAAGUACAAACCUUCCCAUCAUUUCAUGCAUCCAAGCUCGAAAGUGCUUGCGGAAGGAUUGUCGAGCAUUCCUAGCGCACAUCGUUGAUGCAAGUCAAGAACUGAAGGACAUCAAGAACAUCUCGAUAGUACGCGAUUUUCCCGAUAUCUUUCCGGAAGAACUACCAGGAUUACCAUCGCAACGCCAAGUCGAGUUCAGAAUCGACUUAGUUCCAGGGGCUACCCCAGUAGCGAAGUCGCCUUAUCGCCUCGCACCAGUAGAGAUGAAGGAACUUUCCAGUCAUCUUAAUGAACUCCUUCAAAAAGGAUUCAUAAGACCAAGUGUCUCACCUUGGGGAGCACCGGUCUUGUUUGUAAAGAAGAAAGACGGAUCGUUCCGUAUGUGCAUCGACUACAGAGAGCUGAACAAACUUACUGUCAAGAACCGUUAUCCUCUACCCCGUAUUGACGACCUAUUCGAUCAACUUCAAGGAGCAAACUACUUCUCAAAGAUAGAUCUACGAUCCGGAUAUCACCAAUUACGAGUUCUAGAGGGGGAUAUUCCAAAGACAGCUUUCCGAACUCGUUAUGGACACUACGAAUUUGUAGUGAUGCCGUUCGGAUUAACCAAUGCACCAGCAGUAUUUAUGGACCUAAUGAAUAGGGUAUGCCGUCCUUACUUGGAUCAGUUCGUCAUCGUCUUUAUCGAUGAUAUACUUAUCUACUCCCGAAGUGAGGAAGAGCAUAGUCAGCACCUACGAAAAGUCCUAGAAACACUGCGAACGGAGAAACUCUAUGCGAAGUUCUCUAAAUGCGAAUUUUGGAUUCGAAGAGUCGAAUUUUUAGGCCACGUUGUUAGCGAGAAAGGUAUACACGUGGACCCCUCCAAAAUUAAGGCUAUUGAGAACUGGUCGGCACCAAAGACACCUACAGAAAUUCGUCAAUUUCUAGGUUUUGCUGGCUACUAUCGCAGAUUCAUAAAGAAUUUCUCUAGCAUUGUAAAACCUCUUACCACAUUAACCCAGAAAGGCGUGGCCUUUGACUGGGAAGCGAAACAAGAGAAGGCAUUCCAGACACUAAAACAGGCCUUGUGCACCGCACCGAUACUAUCCCUCCCCGAAGGGAUAGAAGACUUCGUAGUGUAUUGCGAUGCGUCAAAUCAAGGACUUGGUUGUGUUCUUAUGCAGAGAGGGAAGGUUAUUGCUUAUGCCUCCCGACAGCUUAAGACACACGAAGUGAACUAUACGACACACGAUCUCGAGUUAGGAGCAGUGGUAUUUGCUCUGAAGAUCUGGAGGCACUACUUAUACGGAACAAAGAGUACUAUUUUCACCGAUCACAAGAGCCUUCAACACAUUUUCGAUCAGAAGGAACUCAACAUGCGACAACGACGAUGGGUUGAGUUACUAAAUGACUACGAAUGCGAAAUUCGUUAUCAUUCUGGCAAGGCCAACAUGGUAGCUGACGCCCUCAUUCGAAAGGAAUACACUGGUCGGAGGCACAAAUGGAAGCUUUGCAACCGGAAAAUAUGGCGGGUGAAUCCCUGCGAGGAAUGGAAAAGAAUCUAGAAGUUAAGGGUGGCGGAGCCUACUAUCCCUUGGACCGAAUCUGGACCCCGAAACAUGGUGGUUUCAGAAACGUAGUGAUGACCAAAGCUCACAACUCAAGAUAUUCCGUUCACCCGGGUUCAGAUAAAAUGUAUCUGGAUCUUAAGAAACUGUACUGGUGGCCUAACAUGAAAGCAGAAAUUGCUACCUUCGUAAGUAAAUGCCUUACUUGCGCUAAGGUUAAGGUCGAGUAUCAGAAACCAUCAGGAUUACUACAACAACCAGAGAUACCAGAAUGGAAAUGGGAGCGGAUUACUAUGGACUUCAUAACCAAGUUACCCAAGACGACAAAUGGACUCGAUACCAUAUGGGUCAUCGUUGACAGAUUGACAAAAUCCACACAUUUCCUACCCAUCAAGGAGACUGAAAAAAUGGAAAAGCUUACAAGAACUUACUUAAGGGAAGUAGUGCGAUUGCAUGGUGUUCUGAUAUCCAUUAUCUCUGAUCGAGAUAGUAGAUUCACUUCAAGAUUCUGGCAGUCAGUACAAAGUUCCUUGGGGAGUAGGCUAGACAUGAGUACAGCCUACCACCCACAAACAGACGGGCAAAGUGAGAGAACGAUACAAACUUUAGAAGAUAUGCUGAGAGCUUGUGUGAUUGACUUUGGAAAGGCAUGGGAUAUCCAUUUACCCCUUGUCGAAUUUUCAUACAACAAUAGUUAUCAUACAAGCAUAAAGGUUGCUCCGUUUGAAGCCCUCUAUGGUCGAAAGUGCAGAUCCCCUCUGUGCUGGACUGAAGUUGGCGAUACCCAGUUAGCUAGAGGAAGAGUUCCUGAAAGCACUCUCACCGGUCCGGAAAUCAUACGAGAAACGACAGAGAAGAUCGUUCAGAUUCGUGAACGAUUGAAAGCCUCUAGAGACCGACAGAAAAGCUACGCUGACCAAAGGAGGAAACCUUUGGAAUUCCAGGUAGGAGACCACGUUUUUUUAAAGGUCUCACCGUGGAAGGGUUUAAUAGAUUUUGGAAAGCGUGGGAAACUAAGUCCAAGAUACAUAGGGCCUUUCGAGAUUAUUGCCAGAAUCGGGCCUGUGGCUUACAAGCUUAACCUACCAUGUGAACUUAGUAACAUACAUCCAACCUUCCACGUCUCUAACUUGAAAAAGUGUCUGUCCGAUGAGACUCUUGUUAUUCCACUCGACGAGGUCGAGAUCAACGAGAGCCUCAACUUUGUGGAAGAACCAUUAGAAAUCAUGGACCGGGAGGUCAAACAAACAAAACAAAGUCGCAUACCCAUCGUGAAGGUUCGCUGGAACGCCAAGCGGGGACCUGAAUUCACAUGGGAACGCGAAGAUCAGAUGAAACAAAAGUACCCUCAUCUCUUUCAUGUUCACUAGUAUCUUUACUACUUUAAAUUUCGGGACGAAAUUCCCUCUAACGGGGGGAUGAUGUGACAACCCGAUAUUUCAACUCUUUGUAAUGACCAAAAAAGUCAAGUAUUGUAACCACUUUUGAGUUAAUAAAAUUAACUUUGAUAAUAAAAUGUCCAAAAAGUUCUAUUUAAAUUCCUUCUAUGUUUAAAUGUCAUUAAACCAUGAUCGUACGUAAAAAGAACGCCCAAAUCCGACUUCGUAUAUUGAAGUUAUGAUUUUUCCAAGUUCGGCUUAGCAACAGACAACUAAAAACUCGAAUCGGAGAUCGAGCGACUUUUGGCCGGAAUGACCUAAACGAGAAUCGAAGGUCUCGGCAAUGGUAUUUCAGCGGUAAAAAGUCUGGCAAAAACCGACAUCAGAUAAAGAAGUUAUGAAUUUUCAAAGAAAUUCCUUAAACACGAUGAGUUUAAUAUAAAUAAUAAAAAAAAUAAUUUCGGAAUUUGCCGACGGAGUCUAAACGAAAGUUGUAGAGCGUAGUCUCACCUACGCGUGGAUAUAAAGACCAUCGAAAACGGAGUUCGUAUGAAGAAGAUAAGAUUUUUUGAAGUUUAUUAAAUAAAUUAUAUAUAAAAAUAAAUCAAAAAUCAGGUAAUAUCCGAAGGAGGAGUCAGCGUCCUCAUCUGAGGUACGCGCCGCGUAACCCCGUACGCCCAGCGUACCCAAAGGCCUUGGUCUCGGUCCGUCCACGUCGCCCCUAUGCGAAGCUACCGACCCGCCCCAUCCGACCCGCCCCAUCCGACCCAUCCCAUCUGAUCCGUCCCAUCCGAAGCCGAGGCAGUCAAGGACUCGCUCAUGCAUGAGGUACGCGUACGCGCUGCGUACGAGCGUACGCCCCGCGUACCGAGGCUUCUCAGACCCCCUAUAAAUAGAAAUGCGAGGGUUCCGGAAAAAUCACCCCAUUUCUCUCCUUUCUCUCACGAUCUUGCCUCAUUUUCCGUGCCCGCACUACCCCGAAGCUCUAGUCUUUUUGCUCAAGUCCCGAGGGUCGAUUUUACUCCCGAGAUUCCUGAGAAUCCAGAGAAAAAUCCGUUUCCCGAGACGAAACUCUGCCCGGUUAUAAUGAAAUCCUAUCUUUAAUGAUAUAAAUUGUUGUAAUGCAUGUAUAAACUAAACAUUUUCUUAGAUUAUAUGUAUAUCUUCCUAUCUUAGGCUCUACAACAAUCUAUGCUUCCAUAAAAGAUGAUUCCUUUUCUAGGUAGUUCUUAACAAACAAGACACACUUUUAAAACUAUAAUAGGUAUACUUUUACGAACAAAAUUUCUAACUCUUACGUACUAGAAACACGAAUUUCAAGAAGUCACUUUCAUAUACAAAAACAAACGAAACUUUUUAACAAGUAGAUUUGUUUUUAUACACCGGUUUUUUUGUGAGACACUAACUUCAUGUACGUUCGAGUACACAUUUCAAGUCCUGUAUUAUAUACAAGAAUCCCUUGGAGGGGGAGCAUGGUGUUUGUGUAUAGAUCUAUACGGGCUUGACAACCCGUGCCCUGACUGUUAGCUACAGUCCACCGUUUGGGGUGACAAACGUCAUAACAUUCCAACGCCUGAAGAACGUUGUGUAUAGGAAUUCUGAGUCAAUAGUAUGGUUAUAAAACUCACAUGGGGUAUUAAAAAUGCAUUGAUUUACAAGGUUUUCAAACACAUUGGUUAUUUUACACUUACAUACAUUUUAGAAACAAACAUUGGUCUUGAGUGAAGGCUACUUUUAUACUAGUAGAAAAUAUAGGAUUUUCUAAACACAAACAAACAAAGACAAAACAUUUCAUUUCAUACAAACAUUGUCACUUAAAUACUUAUGAAACUCACCAGCUUAAAUGUUGAUCUACUCUUUCAAAAUUACUUGUAUGUCCAAGGAAAUUAGUAAUUUCAGGUAUCAUUAUGCUUUUGAUGAAGGGAUGCUGCAGCGCCAGUUUAAUCUCAUAUUUUGACAUCAUAUUGUAAUUGGUUUUGAACAUGUAACUUUUGACAAAUGUAAACUUUCAAUUAUAUAUAUGAUGGUUGUAUUGCUUUCUUUACUAUGUAUUCAUUUGUUACGUUACCACAUGAAGUCAUCCGCCCCCGAACGUUUCCGCCGUUCAGGUUUGGGGGUGUGACAGAUUGGUAUCAGAGCAAUGUUUAUAGUGAACUAAGUAUAUCGAACCACAUAAGAUAUACAAACUAUAAAUGCUUAAGGGACUAAUACUCUCUGACAAAACAAAUUUUCUUUUUACACUUAAGCAGCAUUGCGUUCAACUUAAAUUGAUAGUUCAUUUAAGUACAAUUACAUGCAUACCACAAAUUAUUUUCAUGUUAUCUAACUAUACAAGUAUUUAGACAAGUUGACACUACGAUUGAGACUCGAUAUAUGUAAUCAGAUUUUGGACAAAUAUAGCGUGAUCAACUAUAUUUGCCCGAGAUUGGACCAACGUAUAUCGAGGAAUGAUCGUAGUAAGCAACA